UUGAAACAGCGGUUCCCAUAAGAUCACUAAAGUUAAGUAACGUCGAACCUGGUCAGUACCAAGUUGGGCGACGGCUUGAGAACACCAGAUGCUGUAAGC